AUCAAUUAUGCUCGCCAUUAUAGCAUAAUUAAAUAAGUAAAUUAUAAGCAAUAAUAUAAUUAAAAAUUUAAUUCAGUUGAACAUUUGUGGAGCCUUUGCCACUUAAAAGAAAAUAUAAAAUUUUGCUGAAUCUUUCGCGUUUGUGCUGAAUUGACAUCGUCAACACGAAGCGAGACGAAAAACGAUAACGAGGAGCUCUGAACCCAAAUAGGAAUUUCAAAAUGGCGUCAGUGAUUUUUGGUGGAAUUUUAGUGUGUGUUUAACUUGGUUUACGCGGUAUUUGUGCUGCUUUAAAUUUAAUAAUUGUGAGAAAAAUAAUAAAUGUGAAGUGAUUUAUCCGUAAAAACAAAAGAGAAAUAUAAGCUGACGUGCCUUUAGUUUUUUUAAUUAGUGAUAAUUCGCUCAAAAAUGGCGCAUGUAUGUAAAGAAGCGAAAUAACUUUCUUUUUUCACAACUUAAUUAUUUGUGCUGCGGGUCCAGUGUGUAGUUAUCUAAAGAAAAGGCGUACAACGCGUUGUUGAAUGUUAUAACUUGCACUGCUUACUGCAGUUUUUGACAAGUGGCAAGUGGUACAGUCCGAGUUGGGACGCGUUUUUCAUUGAUUCUAAUUGCCAGCGUGGGAACAUACGGAAAAUUUAUACAUAUAUUUUGUCUUAAUUGCUGAAAUAUUUUUCAAAACGUCACAAAGCGCUGGAGUCCAAUUUGCCUAUGAUAAAGUGAAAAAGGCGGGUAAAUCAAGAAGAAAAAUCCAAAAAUGUGUGCAGCACACAGUAACCCACAGCAGGGCUUCGGCUACACUUGGGGAUUCGCAGAUAACACGCGUACUGAGUCCGUACUGGAGAUUCCGGCAAAUAUAAAUUACACAGUUAGCAGUGAAUCCAUGCCAUAUUUGCUAUCUACAGAUGGCUCUUUAACUGUGCAGAAGGAUGUUAAGGGAGGUUUGGCGGCUCAGAAAGGAGGUGUUGUACGACGUAUGUUUGUUGUAAAUGAACCAUUUGCACCAGGGCCGCAACGGGUCAUAACUGCAGGUACUACUACACCAUCGGUGGUGAAGAAACAAGACCAACAAGUGCUCAGUAUUAACUGCGACAAAAAUUACCUACUUGUAGAUCAAUCAGAUCAGUCACACUCUCUGACUAAUGGUAUCGUCGACACGAAGUCACAGACCAUUCUAACGACAACAGCUGGCGCUAAAACGCAUUUUAGUCCCAUCGGGCCGAUUCAUCUCACUGCAGAGGAAUGCAACGAGAUUUUAAUGAAACGAGCGCUUGCCGCAUCUCAACAGACUCACACGAUCACUACUGCAGACGGACAUGGGACGACAAGUGACAUUUUGCCGGGUAUAUCGGUACAAGUUCAAAAGGUUAUUCAAGGUUUAGAAGAGGCAGAUGAUUCACAAGGCGAUACACCCAACUUAAAGUUGGAGCCCGGUACAUUAGAGCUAUCUCCAAAAACUGAGUUGCAAGAUAACAUGAAUUAUAACGAGAAUGACGCCACAGUUAAGAAGGAGCGCCCUUACAGUUGUGACGAAUGCGGCAAAUCGUUUUUAUUGAAGCACCAUUUAACAACACACGCGCGAGUUCACACAGGUGAACGGCCGCAUGUGUGCGUACAUUGUAGCAAGAGCUUUGCCCAUAAGCACUGCCUCAAUACACAUCUGCUGUUGCAUUCUACCGAUCGGCCCUUUCAGUGUACUGAAUGCAAGAAGAGUUUUACUUUGAAACACCACCUGUUGACACAUUCACGUGUUCAUAGUCGUGAUCGGCCAUUCGUGUGCCCCGAAUGUGGGCGAACGUUCCCACUGAAGCGGCAUUUAGUGACCCAUAGUAAAUUUCACGCAGGUGAACGGCCAUACGUUUGUGAGGAAUGUGGCGAAAGUUUUGCUCAGGAGAAUCACUUAAUAAUGCAUUCACGUUUUCAUGGGUCGCUGAAUCCAUUUGUAUGCCCCGAUUGCGGAGUUACAUUUCCGCGCAAAUUUCAAUUGGUAAAUCAUGGCCGCAUACAUGGUAAAGUACCACACUCUUGCACCUUGUGUGGCAAAGAGUUCUUACAGAAGCGUACGCUGGUUUCUCAUAUGAGAAUUCACACCGGCGACCAGCCAUAUCCUUGCAUUAGUUGUGGAGAGGGCUUUAUGUCUAAGGCCGAAUUAAAUCAACAUGUGCGCAAUACGCACGGAGGCGUAAAUCCAAACUCCUCAAAUACUACGAUACACUCUACGCAGCAACAUCAUACGCAACAACAACAGACGCAGGGGUCACAUCCACAAACCAUUACUGUAGUCAGUAAUCCAACGAAUCCGGCCUUAUUAGCUGUGGGCGGUGAUAAUAAUGCUGGCCGGCCCCAAUUUGGCUGUCGUGAAUGUGGAAGUGCCUUUAAUAGUAGAGAAGCGUUAGCGCUUCAUUUGCGAUUACAUACAGGUGAUAAAAGCCUUAUGACUGAUUUGUGCGCUUUAACUGCGGCACUGCCUAGUCAUUUCCUCAACACCGGCCUUAAUCCAGGCGCCACAGUAGUUGCCACCAAUCCCAAUAUAGUGGCUCAGAAUACAGUGCCCGUGCAGAUAAUUUCAUCAACCGGACAAGUCAUGACACAAACAACAUUGGUACAGGCUGCCGCAGCAACGCAUCCCCAGGGUGUGGUUACUAAUGUGCCUGGAGUGAUGCACCAUCAACAGCCGCAACAGCAACUGACCAAUGCAGCACCGCAACAGCAUCAUCCACAGCAACAGCAGGUCACGCCGCCCAAACCAAAGUCACAUUUUUGCGCUAGCUGUGGUAAAGGAUUCGCUGCUAAGCAUGGUCUUAUGCAGCAUAAUCGAAGACAUCCUAACGGCGGCUGCACCGUGCGCACACACGUAUGCGAGUGUGGCAAGGCAUUCUUCCAGAAGAAUCACUUGAUGCUACAUCAGCGCCAGCAUUUGGAAACCAAACCGCCAUCUGCUGUCUCUCAACAGCAACAACAACAGCAGCAGCAACAACAACAACAACAGCAGCAGCAACAACAACAGGUGCGUUGAUUGCAUUGCUAAGCAAAAGAUAAGAAAAAAUAGAAUAAAUACAAAAAAAGCUGCACAACGCUGUGUAGUCCGCAAAAGAGUAAUCCUGCAAAAUACGCAAGCUGGCUUUGCAACGCUUCCAUUAUUAUUUUUACACGAACUCGGUAACGUUACGCUGAGACAAAUAACCAACGCUUAACAUCAAGCCAGCAUCCUCAUAUCAAACAACCACGAAAUAAAACUGCAUACGCAAAAUACUAACAUAAUGGAUUUAACGCACGAACAGCACAGCCGCUCGCGCAAACAACAACAACCACAAUCGGCUAUGUUGAUUGGCAAUCAUCAAGCACUGCACUUGCAAGUACUGCAAGGCACCAAUGCAGCUCAAGUUAUUAAAUACGAAAUUAAUAUACCACAGGAUAAUCAAAGUGGCUGAGCGCGUUGUUAGUGUCGAAAUGGUUGAAUUAUUUCAUUGGUAACAUUAAUUACCAUAAAGGACAUUAAAUAUCAAGGACAUUUAAGUGGUGAAUGUCGGCUGGCGGCUGGGAAGAGGAAGUAAGUGAGUUCAAAUUGUACGGUACUCGGUACGGUACUUGUUUUCAUUCGUUUAAGUUUAUUACGUUUUUAGUAUAUUAAGCUUUAUUGUUUCGCUCUUUAUUGUGUGCACACAUUUUGCAAUGGCAGAGUAGAAAUUACUAAUUGUUUCAAUUUGUGUAUAUAUUUGUUCGAUUUAACUUAACUAUAACAAUUGUAAUUUUAAGCCCUCAACCAGACAAGCACACAUAAUUAAAUUAAA